UUUAAUUGUUUUUAGGAGAGCUUGAAUAUUACUUUAAACACUAUAAAAAGAUCAAUUCAUAUUCUAUUUUCUUACAUGCAAAGAAGAAAAAAUAUGACUGAAGUUCUCAAAUUUAUUUAUGCUAUGAUUCUAUUUCUUUUGUUCCUUGUCGCAAUAAAAGUUGGUGGUGAACAUAUUUUCUGUGCAAGUGAUGCUGAUUGUACAAACAUUUGGAAUGAGUAUUAUAUUCAUAAGUGUGUUGAUCACGAAUGUAAGUGGGUGUGGAAAUGGGAUUUAGAGCCAUAAUUUUGUAAGAUGGUUAGUUAUUGUAACGGUACCUAAUAAUUUUUUUUCUUUUUCCAAUUUUGUGAACCUUGCAUUUAUGAUAUUGUAUUUUAAGA